rnacentral:rRNA from 1 species
CCAAUAGCGUAUAUUAAAGUUGUUGCAGUUAAAAAGCUCGUAGUUGAAUUUCGGAAUCAGUACGCCGGUCGUGCCUCCGGUAUGUACUGGUGUCACUGGUUCCUCCCUUCUGAAGAACCAUCAUGCCAUUUACUUGGUGUGGUGGGGAAUCAGGACUGUUACUUUGAAAAAAUUAGAGUGUUUAAAGCAGGCUCACGCUGGAAUACAUUAGCAUGGAAUAAUGAAAUAGGACGUUGAUCUUAUUUUGUUGGUUUCUAGGAUUGACGUAAUGAUUAAUAGGGAUAGUUGGGGGCAUUAGUAUUCAAUUGUCAGAGGUGAAAUUCUUGGAUUUAUUGAAGACUAACUACUGCGAAAGCAUUUGCCAAGGAUGUUUUCAUUAAUCAAGAACGAAAGUUAGGGGAUCGAAGACGAUCAGAUACCGUCGUAGUCUUAACCAUAAACUAUGCCGACUAGGGAUCGGAUGAUGUUAAUUUUUUAAUGACUCAUUCGGCGCCUUACG